GGCCACACCCACGUCUGCUACAGUACAAUAUAAACUGGAGUCUGUGACCGAUUCGAUGCACAUUUUCAAAGACAACUAUACGAAUUGAGUUACAAGCAAGUUACUGAGACAAGAUCUAUCUAAAGAUGGAGCUAAUUCUCGCAAUACCAACUAUUCCCAUUCCAAUAGACAAACCAUGCAGUUGCAGUUAAUUGUGACCUCAAAGUGUUCUUACAUUGACAAGUUGAACUUCUGCACUAAUGGCGCCAACUAUUAUCAUCCUAAUUCCUGACUCCAGCAAAAGUUUCAUCCGCUCACAACGAGGCUAAAAUUCUCCUUUUUGUGUAAAAGCUCAAAAUGUCUUCACAGAUGACACCAAUAAUAGUCACAAUGUUUCCGGACACCAAAACUAGCUCCAGAUUUAGAAGUAAAUAGAGAUUUCGAAUUUCUCCAGUAUGUAUAUAUAUAUAUGUCACAGUCCAGAAACUUGCCUCUACAUAGAGGACAUGAUGCUCAUGUUCUACCACAUAUUUAUUUUAUUUAUUGAUCAUUAAAUACAAGACGAAA